rnacentral:rRNA from 1 species
AUUGUACGCUGGCGGCAUGCCUUACACAUGCAAGUCGAACGGCAGCACGGGAGCAAUCCUGGUGGCGAGUGGCGAACGGGUGAGUAAAGUAUCGGAACGUGCCCAGUCGUGGGGGAUAACGUAGCGAAAGUUACGCUAAUACCGCAUACGAUCUAUGGAUGAAAGCGGGGGACCGCAAGACCUCGCGCGAUUGGAGCGGCCGAUAUCAGUUUAGGUAGUUGGUGGGGUAAAGGCUCAACAAGCCGACGAUCUGUAGCUGGUCUGAGAGGACGACCAGCCACACUGGGACUGAGACACGGCCCAGACUCCUACGGGAGGCAGCAGUGGGGAAUUUUGGACAAUGGGCGAAAGCCUGAUCCAGCCAUGCCGCGUGCAGGAUGAAGGCCUUCGGGUUGUAAACUGCUUUUGUACGGAACGAAAAGGUUUGGCCUAAUAAGCUGAGCUCAUGACGGUACCGUAAGAAUAAGCACCGGCUAACUACGUGCCAGCCGCCGCGGUAAUAC